GUAGUAGACGCGAAACCGAGUGAUCUACCCAUGGGCAGGUUGAAGCUGUGGUAACACAUAGUGGAGGACCGAACCAGUUGACGUUGAAAAGUCUUUGGAUGACCUGUGGGUAGGGGUGAAAGGCCAAUCAAACUCGGAAAUAGCUCGUACUCCCCGAAAUGCAUUUAGGUGCAGCGUUGAGUAAAAGUUUUAUAGAGGUAGAGCUACUGAUUGGAUGCGGGGGCUUCACCGCCUACCAAUUCCUGACAAACUCCGAAUGCUAUAAAAUGUUUCUCAGCAGUGAGGGCAUGGGUGCUAAGGUCCAUGUCCGAGAGGGAAAGAACCCAGACCAUCAGCUAAGGUCCCCAAAUAUAUGUUAAGUUGAACUAACGAAGUGAAAUUGCUUAGACAGCUAGGAUGUUGGCUUGGAAGCAGCCAUUCAUUUAAAGAGUGCGUAACAGCUCACUAGUCGAGCGAUUUUGCAUGGAUAAUAAUCGGGCAUAAACAUAUUACCGAAGCUAUGGAUUUACGUUGAAAGACACGUAAGUGGUAGGGGAGCAUUGUAAUCAGCGUAGAAGGUGUACUGUAAGGUAUGCUGGAGUGGUUACAAAAGAAAAUGUAGGCAUAAGUAACGAUAAUGCGGGCGAGAAACCCGCACACCGAAAGACUAAGGUUUCCUCAGCGAUGCUAAUCAGCUGAGGGUUAGUCGGGUCCUAAGGCGAAUCCGAAGGGAGUAGUCGAUGGAUAACAGGUUAAUAUUCCUGUACUUCUUAUAAUUGCGAUGGGGUGACGGAGUAUUGAAAGCACCGCGUACUGACGGAAUAGUACGUUGAAGACUGUAUUUAUAGGACAUGUAGGUAAAUCCGCAAGUUUUGGAGAAAGUUGAUAGUACCAUGAGUCUUCGGAUGAGUGGAUAGUGUGCCUAAAAGCUUCCAAGAAAAACCUCUAAGCUUCAGAUUAUAAGAACCCGUACCGUAAACCGACACAGGUAGUUGGGAUGAGAAUUCUAAGGUGCUCGAGAGAUUCAUGGCUAAGGAACUAGGCAAAAUCGACCCGUAACUUCGGGAGAAGGGUCGCCACGCUUCGGCGUGGCCGCAGUGAAAAGGUCCAGGCGACUGUUUAUCAAAAACACAGGGCUUUGCUAAAUUGAAAGAUGAUGUAUAAGGCCUGACACCUGCCCGGUGCUGGAAGGUUAAGUGGAGGGCUUAGAAGUUUACUUCGAAGGUCUGAAAUGAAGCCCCAGUAAACGGCGGCCGUAACUAUAACGGUCCUAAGGUAGCGAAAUUCCUUGUCGGGUAAGUUCCGACCUGCACGAAUGGUGCAACGAUCUGGACACUGUCUCAGCCAUGAGCUCGGUGAAAUUGUAGUAUCGGUGAAGAUGCCGAUUACCCGCAGCGGGACGAAAAGACCCCGUGAACCUUUACUAUAGCUUAGUAUUGGCUUUGGAUAAGUAAUGUGUAGGAUAGGUGGG
rnacentral:rRNA from 1 species